CAGAUUUGACCUUACCCGUGUGGCCCACACGGCCUGGCCCAAAAUCCACACGAUCGUGUGGUAUGUCUGUGUGGGCCCACACGCCCAAUUUGGCCUAACCCGUGUGGCCCACACGGCCACACCCACAUUACCACAAGGUCGUGUCUUGCGCACGGCCAUGCCCUCGUCAAACACACGGUCGUGUCUCGCACACUGUCACCCACAUGGCCUGCCACACGCCCGCGUGGCGUCAACAAUAGACAAU
rnacentral:lncRNA from 1 species